AAACUUUACAAGAAUGCAAGUGGCAACUUCAAAUUCUAUGUGGGGAACUUCUUUCGUUUUGAUGAGAAUCUGGAGGGGAAGUUUGACUUCGUCUGGGACGCGGGGGCGAUGUGCGCUGUAGAUGAGAGGGACAGACACAAGUACAUGGAAGCUGUCAGG
rnacentral:misc_RNA from 1 species